AUUCCGUGAUGAGGGCACUUCUGUAAUAAUCCUUUGUACCUUUCCCAUGCCUCAUAUAAGGACUCAUCAACCAUUUCCUGGAAAGCAGUGAUCUCAUUCCUUAACUU
rfam:Gossypium hirsutum cultivar TM-1 unplaced genomic scaffold scaffold1585.1, whole genome shotgun sequence